CGGAGGUGUUGGCGCUGUACGAUUGUGCAAUCGCCAUCUCGCCGGGGAACACCGCAUGCCGGAGCAACUGCGCGACGGCGCUCACGGCGGUCAGGAGGCUCGGCAAUGUCGCGAGGGAGUGCCUUGAGGCUGUGAAGUUGGACCCUGCUUAUGCCAGAGCGCAUAAGAGACUUGCUUCACUUUAUCUUAGGUUUUGACAGGUUGAAAAUUCACGGCGGCACUUGUGUCUCUCUGGGAUUCACGAGGAUCAAUCUGAGGAGCAGAAGCUAUUGUUGUUGGAGAAGCAUUUGAAUCGCUAUGCUGAUGCAAGAAAAUUUGGUGAUUGGAAGAGGGCGCUUAGGGAAUCAGAAGCAGCCAUUGCUGUUGGAGCAGAUUUUUCGCCUCAGGUACUUUUCGAAUUUCUCGUUUUAACAUUGUUUAUGUUAGACAUGUAAUGUAGAAUAUAAAAUUGUUCACGUGUCUUCAAUUGGGAGCGUAAAAUUUUAGGAUUGUUGAGGUGUGAUUGAUUUCUGUUUCCAAAAGUUGUUUGGAGUUUUCAAAAUGCAACUAAACAAGGUUGCUGAGAAAGCUGGUGGAGUCUUGAAGAAGGCUAUUGAUUUCUACGAGGAAGUGAAGGCAAAGCAUCCUAAGAUUACAUAUGCAGACCUCUACCAGGUGAUCAUUUGUCUUAAUUCAGUUGUUGUGAAAGUCUAUUGAAUCUGAUAAUUUUGUAUUAAAUUUGUUAGGUGAAAACUGAAAAUCGUAGAAUGGGGUUAAUGGACUUCUAAAUUUGCCUGGGAUGUGCAUGAUAAUUGAUUCAGCCGUGAUAUGUGGUUCUAAUUAACAACUGCAUAGCCUCAGACGACUAUGAUGGAUAUCAAAGUCCUUGUGCAAACAAUCACAUCUACACCCACAACCACAAUUUAAAACUAAAGACCGCGGUUGCAAAUAGAUUGACAAUUAAGUGUAUGGAAGCAAUAUGAAACGAAAGGAUAUAAGCAUUGAUAAAGUAUAUGAUGCACGUGCACUAAGAGUAGUUGUGGGAGACAAGAAUGGAACUUUACACGAAAGGAUAUAAGCAUUGAUAAGUAUAUUUAUUUUAACUUUUUUUCUUAUAAAUAUUACGAGUUCUGAAUAUGUUUAUGUGUCUAAAUUUUUUAUUCCAGUGGCAGCUACACUCUCAUAAUAAUACAUAUAUAUUUUACCAUUAAUUAUUUUUUU